CCCUUACGACCAGGGCUACACACGUGCUACAAUGGCAUAUACAAAGAGAAGCGACCUCGCGAGAGCAAGCGGACCUCAUAAAGUAUGUCGUAGUCCGGAUUGGAGUCUGCAACUCGACUCCAUGAAGUCGGAAUCGCUAGUAAUCGUGGAUCAGAAUGCCACGGUGAAUACGUUCCCGGGCCUUGUACACACCGCCCGUCACACCAUGGGAGUGGGUUGCAAAAGAAGUAGGUAGCUUAACCUUCGGGAGGGCGCUUACCACUUUGUGAUUCAUGACUGGGGUGAAGUCGUAACAAGGUAACCGUAGGGGAACCUGCGGUUGGAUCACCUCCUU
rnacentral:rRNA from 1 species